AGGGUUGAGGUUAGCAGGCGGAG
rnacentral:misc_RNA from 1 species